rnacentral:rRNA from 1 species
UACGUAGGGUGCAGGCGUUAAUCGGAAUUACUGGGCGUAAAGCGUGCGCAGGCGGUUUCUUAAGUCAGAUGUGAAAGCCCCGGGCUUAACCUGGGAACUGCGUUUGAAACUGGGAGACUUGAGUGUGGCAGAGGGGGGUGGAAUUCCACGUGUAGCAGUGAAAUGCGUAGAUAUCUGGAGGAACACCGGUGGCGAAGGCGGCAUCCUGGACCGACAUUGACGCUGAGGAGCGAAAGCUAGGGGAGCAAACGGG